rnacentral:piRNA from 1 species
UGGUAAUGCUGGGUCAAUGGCUGAAUCC